UGCAAACUAUUCAGUCUUCAAAACUAUUUAUACAGUGCGAAUUAAUUACAGAUGGCCAAUUCAUAUAGCAAGGUCUCUGCAACCGAUACAAAAGGGCUACUACCCUCUCCUGAUUGAAAGCAGUAUAUUUUUUGUGUUGGCUACAUCCAGGAGAGGGCAUGGCUGUCACAGGAAUUACCAACGAGACCACAAAUUGUGUUUUAAAGAAUUACAGGAAGAAAAAGCCUGAGCCUUCAUUUUUUCAAGGCUGAUCCAACAUUGUGAGAAUCCUGAAGAAUGACGCUGAAAGCAGCUAAGACUCUUCACCUCUAGCCAAGAACAAGACACAGAACAGGAAUUCCAGAACCCAGAAACAGCCACUCAGAAGCUGGAGAAUUCUACUCUUCCAUUAGUACUAAGUCGUAUAAAGAAGAUGGGAAAUAGUCACACGCUUGGUCACCCAAGGAACAAAAAGUCAAGAAGGAAAAACUGUCACACAAAAUUCAAAGAACUUUUUAAUUAGCAGCAGUCUGCUGGUAAUGUCCCUCCUAGUGUGCUGGCAGAACAAUGGAAUGUGAUACUGAUCACUAUUACCUAUUUAGCAAUCAAUCAGAAACGAAGCCAAUGGAUUUUUCCAGUAGCGAUGCAUGGAAGCGAGAGCUGGACCAUAAAGAAAGCUG